UUGCUCUUCAACGAGGAAUUCCUAGUAAGCGCAAGUCAUCAGCUUGCGUUGAUUACGUCCCUGCCCUUUGUACACACCGCCCGUCGCUACUACCGAUUGAAUGGUUAUAGUGAGCAUAUGGGAUCAGUAGGAUUUGACUGGCAACAGUCAUUUCCUGCAGAGAACUAUGGCAAACUAGGCUAUUUAGAGGAAGUAAAAGUCGUAACAAGGUUUCCGUAGGUGAACCUGCGGAAGGAUCAUUAAUUAUGUUAAAGCGCCUUACCUUAGGGUUUCCUCUGGGGUAAGUGAUUGCUUCUACACUGUGAAAAUUUGGCUGAGAGACUCAGACUGGUCAUGGGUAGACCUAUCUGGGGUUUGAUCGAUGCCACUCCUGGUUUCAGGAGCACCCUUCAUAAUAAACCUAGAAAUUCAGUAUUAUAAAGUUUAAUAAAAAACAACUUUUAACAAUGGAUCUCUUGGUUCUCGCAUCGAUGAAGAACGUAGCAAAGUGCGAUAACUAGUGUGAAUUGCAUAUUCAGUGAAUCAUCGAGUCUUUGAACGCAGCUUGCACUCUAUGGUUUUUCUAUAGAGUACGCCUGCUUCAGUAUCAUCACAAACCCACACAUAACAUUUGUUUAUGUGGUGAUGGGUCGCAUCGCUGUUUUAUUACAGUGAGCACCUAAAAUGUGUGUGAUUUUCUGUCUGGCUUGCUAGGCAGGAAUAUUACGCUGGUCUCAGGAUCUUUUUUUUUGGUUCGCCCAGGAAGUAAAGUACAAGAGUAUAAUCCAGUAACUUUCAAACUAUGAUCUGAAGUCAGGUGGGAUUACCCGCUGAACUUAAGCAUAUCAAUAAGCGGAGGA
rnacentral:rRNA from 1 species